UAAAGCCUGAUAAUUGGUUUUGAGCGGGAUUUUGAUUUCUCCUCUUUUUCAUUCACGCGGUCGUCCCUCUGAAUUUCCUUUUUUAUUCUCCUAUUUAAUUGAAAUUGAAGCUUCUUCUUCUAAUCAAGAACCCUAAAUCCCUCCAUAUUCUACUUGGGCGAUUCCAAAGGUACGCUUUCAUCAUUCGAUUUCAUCUAGAUCUUGAACAAUAAUCUGAUGUAUGUGUUCUUUUUUCUAUCAAAUUGGUUAGAGUUACUGAAUCGGUAGAUUGAUUUACGACCUAGGGUUUAUAAAGUGUGCGAUUUGUUCGCCUUUUAGAUCAAAACUGUUGAUUAUAUAAUUUGAUUUCUCUUAACGAUUGGAUGUUAUAAACGUCCGUGAGCUUGAAUUGCAUGUUCUGAUGCAAGAAUUGGAUGUUAUAAACGUCCGUAGCUUGAAGAUUUCCUGAUCAAUGAGUGCAUGUAUGUGGGUAUUGUCAGGUCCAAACUGGAUCAGUUGCAAAGAUGUUUUCAGGUGCAAUUUGCAGCCGGGAGGGAUCUAAGGCCUGGACAAUUGGGGAGUAUGAUACAUACAUUAUCAAACUG